UGGGGAAUAUUGGACAAUGGGCGAAAGCCUGAUCCAGCCAUGCCGCGUGUGUGAAGAAGGUCUUCGGAUUGUAAAGCACUUUAAGUUGGGAGGAAGGGCAGUAAGCGAAUACCUUGCUGUUUUGACGUUACCGACAGAAUAAGCACCGGCUAACUCUGUGCCAGCAGCCGCGGUAAUACAGAGGGUGCAAGCGUUAAUCGGAAUUACUGGGCGUAAAGCGCGCGUAGGUGGUUCGUUAAGUUGAAUGUGAAAGCCCCGGGCUCAACCUGGGAACUGCAUCCAAAACUGGCGAGCUAGAAGAGGGCAGAGGGUGGUGGAAUUUCCUGUGUAGCGGUGAAAUGCGUAGAUAUAGGAAGGAACACCAGUGGCGAAGGCGACCACCUGGGCUCAUACUGACACUGAGGUGCGAAAGCGUGGGGAGCAAACAGG
rnacentral:rRNA from 1 species